rnacentral:rRNA from 1 species
AUUGAACGCUGGCGGCAUGCCUUACACAUGCAAGUCGAACGGUAACAGGUCUUCGGAUGCUGACGAGUGGCGAACGGGUGAGUAAUACAUCGGAACGUGCCUAGUAGUGGGGGAUAACUACUCGAAAGAGUGGCUAAUACCGCAUGAGAUCUACGGAUGAAAGCAGGGGAUCGCAAGACCUUGUGCUACUAGAGCGGCCGAUGGCAGAUUAGGUAGUUGGUGGGAUAAAAGCUUACCAAGCCGACGAUCCGUAGCUGGUCUGAGGGGACGUUCAGCCACACUGGGACUGAGACACGGCCCAGACUCCUACGGGAGGCAGCAGUGGGGAAUUUUGGACAAUGGGCGAAAGCCUGAUCCAGCAAUGCCGCGUGCAGGAUGAAGGCCUUCGGGUUGUAAACUGCUUUUGUACGGAACGAAAAGCCCCGGGUUAAUACCCUGGGGUCAUGACGGUACCGUAAGAAUAAGCACCGGCUAACUACGUGCCAGCCGCCGCGGUAA